GUAGCCCUGCACAAAUGAACGAGCCUGAUUUUCCAACACCACGCGUGGGUCUCAACAACGACAGUCUCUUGAAUUUCCUCGGCGAUGACAGUACGGAUGGAGACAACUCUCUUGACGUUGAAGAAGUAAACCGAGUAUUUGAGGCAUUGGCACGUGAACACCGUGACAAGUCGCGCAGGUGUGCCAAUACAUCACGGUGGACUAAGCUCUAAACACCAUUCCCAGCCAAAAAGGAUGAGGACAUGAUUUCCUUAUCUCAAGUAAAGAAAUCCAGAAAGAACAAGACACGUUUAUUCUUCAAAUACAACAGCAACGAAACCUAAGUAAGAAAAAUCUAAGAAGAAUUAGAUUACAUUCAAUCUUAAAUA